rnacentral:rRNA from 1 species
CAGCAGCCGCGGUAUUACAGAGGGUGCGAGCGUUAAUCGGAUUUACUGGGCGUAAAGCGUGCGUAGGCGGCUUCUUAAGUCGGAUGUGAAAUCCCUGAGCUUAACUUAGGAAUUGCAUUCGAUACUGGGAAGCUAGAGUAUGGGAGAGGAUGGUAGAAUUCCAGGUGUAGCGGUGAAAUGCGUAGAGAUCUGGAGGAAUACCGAUGGCGAAGGCAGCCAUCUGGCCUAAUACUGACGCUGAGGUACGAAAGCAUGGGGAGCAAACAGGAUUAGAUACCCGCGUAGUCCCUGUCUCUUAUAC